rnacentral:rRNA from 1 species
UACGGAGGAUGCAAGCGUUAUCCGGAAUUAUUGGGCGUAAAGCGUCCGCAGGUGGCGAUGUAAGUCUGCUGUUAAAGAGUGAGGCUCAACCUCAUAAGAGCAGUGGAAACUACAUAGCUAGAGUACGUUCGGGGCAGAGGGAAUUCCUGGUGUAGCGGUGAAAUGCGUAGAGAUCAGGAAGAACACCGGUGGCGAAGGCGCUCUGCUAGGCCGCAACUGACACUGAGGGACGAAAGCUAGGGGAGCGAAUGGG